rnacentral:rRNA from 1 species
CUGGUUGAUCCUGCCAGUAGUCAUAUGCUUGUCUCAAAGAUUAAGCCAUGCAUGUCUAAGUACAAACUCUAGCACAGUGAAACUGCGAAUGGCUCAUUAGAUCAGUUAUGGUUCCUUAGACGAUACAAUCCUACUUGGAUAACUGUGGUAAUUCUAGAGCUAAUACAUGCACUCUAGCUCCGACCCUUUCGCGAGGGGAAGAGCGCGUUUAUCAGUUCGAAGCCAGCCGGGUUGCAAAACUCGACUCUUUGGUGACUCUGGAUAACUCUUGCGGAUCGCACGGUCUCGAACCGGCGACGCGUCUAUCAAGUGUCUGCCCUAUCAGACUGUCGAUGGUAAGUGCUAUGCUUACCAUGGUGAUAACGGGUAACGGGGAAUCAGGGUUCGAUUACGGAGAGGGAGCCUGAGAAACGGCUACCACAUCCAAGGAAGGCAGCAGGCGCGCAAAUUACCCAAUCUCGAUACGAGGAGGUAGUGACGAAAAAUAACAAUACGGGACUCUUUCGAGGCCCCGUAAUUGGAAUGAGUGUACUCUAAACGUGUGCACGAGGAUCUAUUGGAGGGCAAGUCUGGUGCCAGCAGCCGCGGUAAUUCCAGCUCCAAUAGCGUAUAUUAAAGCUGUUGUGGUUAAAAAGCUCGUAGUUGGAUCUCAGGGUCGUUCGCGUCGGUCCCUUGCUGCAAUGGCUCGGGUACUGCGCGGUGUCGUCCCCCUUGCCAGACCUCUCAAAAAGGUUGCUCUUGACUGAGUGGCCUGCUCGAGUGGCUGGAGAGUUUACUUUGAAAAAAUUAGAGUGUUCAAAGCAGGCACAGCCCGCCUGUAUAAUGGUGCAUGGAAUAAUGGAAUAGGACCCCGGAUCCUAUUUUGCUGGUUUUUGGAGCUCAGGGGUAAUGAUUAAGAGGAACAGGGCGGGGGCAUCCGUAUUACGGCGUUAGAGGUGAAAUUCUUGGAUCGUCGUAAGACGCCCUACAGCGAAAGCAUUUGCCAAGUAUGUUUUCAUUAAUCAAGAACGAAAGUCAGAGGUUCGAAGACGAUCAGAUACCGUCGUAGUUCUGACCGUAAACUAUGCCAACUGGCAGCCCGUCGGCGUUGCUCUAUUCGACUCGGCGGGAGGCCUACCCGAAAGGAAAGUCUACGGGUUCCAGGGGAAGUAUGGUUGCAAACUGAAACUUAAAGGAAUUGACGG